rnacentral:rRNA from 1 species
AACGAACGCUGGCGGCAGGCUUAACACAUGCAAGUCGAGCGGGCACUCCGGUGUUAGCGGCGCACGGGUGCGGAACGCGGGGGAACAUGCCUUUAGGUACGGAACAACCAAGGGAAACUUUGGCUAAUACCGCAGAAUAUCUCUCGAACAAAGAUUUAUCGCGUAAAGAUUGGCCCGCGUUAGAUUAGGUAGUUGGUGGGGUAAUGGCCUACCAAGCCGAGGAUCUAUAGGGGGUCUGAGAGGAUGAUCCCCCACACUGGAACUGAGACACGGUCCAGACUCCUACGGAAGGGAGGAGUAAGGAAUAUAGGACGAGGGGCGAAGGCCUGAUAAAGCCAUGCCGGGUAAGUGAUGAAGGCCUUAGGGUAGUGAUGCUCUUUUAGAUGGGAAGAUAAUGACGGUACCGGCAGAAUAAGCCCCGGCUAAAUACGUG